rnacentral:rRNA from 1 species
AGAGUUUGAUCCUGGCUCAGGAUGAACGCUGACAGAAUGCUUAACACAUGCAAGUCUUUGGCGAAGCUGUGCUUGCACAGCCUAGCCAAGGCGGACGGGUGAGUAACGCGUAAGGGACUUGCCCUGCAGUCAGGGAUAACAGACGGAAACGACUGAUAAGACCUGGUAAAGUCAGGCGGACUCAUGUCCAGCCUGAUGAAAAGGAAUGCUGCAGGAGAGCCUUGCGUCCUAUUAGCUUGUUGGUGGGGUAACGGCCCACCAAGGCGAUGAUAGGUAGCCGGCCUGAGAGGGUGGACGGCCACAAGGGGACUGAGAUACGGCCCUUACUCCUACGGGAGGCAGCAGUGGGGAAUAUUGGACAAUGGGGGCAACCCUGAUCCAGCAAUUCUGUGUGCACGAUGAAGGUCUUCGGAUUGUAAAGUGCUUUCAGCAGGGAAGAAAAAAAUGACGGUACCUGCAGAAGAAGCGACGGCUAAAUACGUGCCAGCAGCCGCGGUAAUACGUAUGUCGCGAGCGUUAUCCGGAAUUAUUGGGCAUAAAGGGCAUCUAGGCGGCCGGAUAAGUCUGGGGUGAAAACUUGCGGCUCAACCGCAAGCCUGCCCUGGAAACUAUGCGGCUAGAGUACUGGAGAGGUGGACGGAACUGCACGAGUAGAGGUGAAAUUCGUAGAUAUGUGCAGGAAUGCCGAUGAUGAAGAUAGUUCACUGGACGGUAACUGACGCUGAAGUGCGAAAGCUAGGGGAGCAAACAGGAUUAGAUACCCUGGUAGUCCUAGCUGUAAACGAUGAUUACUGGGUGUGGGCAUGAAGAGUGUCCGUGCCGAAGCUAAUGCGAUAAGUAAUCCGCCUGGGGAGUACGGCCGCAAGGCUGAAACUCAAAGGAAUUGACGGGGACCCGCACAAGCGGUGGAGCAUGU